AUUUUAUUUUUUUUUUCUAAAAAUUUUAUGGUGAAAAAAUUGGUGGAAAGAUUGUGAAAUCUAGAGGCUAAAGGUGCCAUCUCUCCUGCGACAGUAAACAAAUGACGAGUCCGUUCAAGUCUUCGCCGUACCGCCGGCGACAUGAUCUAGAGGCCGGAGGCCGCUCCACUGACGAUGAGUCAUCCGGUCCUUUUGAUAUUCUCAGCACUAAAAACGCCUCUAUUGAACGUCUUCGCCGUUGGAGGCAAGCUGCACUUGUGCUUAAUGCUUCUCGUCGAUUCCGAUAUACCCUGGACUUGCAAAAGGAAGAAGAGAAGCAGCAAAUAUUGAGAAAGAUAAGAGCACAUGCACAAGUCAUACGAGCUGCAUAUCGUUUUAAAGCAGCUGGGGAACAAGCAAAUGGAAACACAGAAUUACAUGCAACACCUACAGGUGAUUUUGGAAUUGAUCAAGACCAACUUUCUACAAUGACAAGGGAUCAUAAGUUUGAUUUUCUAGAGCAACUUGGGGGGGUAAAAGGGCUUUCUGAUCUUUUAAAAACAAAUAACGAGAAGGGGAUCUAUGGAGAUGAUGCUGAUUUACUGAAGCGCAAGAAUGCAUUU
rnacentral:misc_RNA from 1 species